rnacentral:rRNA from 1 species
UACGUAGGUGGCAAGCGUUGUCCGGAUUUAUUGGGCUUAAAGGGUGCGUAGGCGGUCCUAUAAGUCAGUGGUGAAAUCCGGCAGCUUAACUGUCGAGGUGCCAUUGAUACUGCAGGACUAGAGUACUGAUGAGGUAGGCGGAAUGGACGGUGUAGCGGUGAAAUGCUUAGAUAUCGUCCAGAACACCGAUAGCGAAGGCAGCUUACUAAGGAGUAACUGACGCUGAGGCACGAAAGUGUGGGGAGCAAACAGG